AGUGAACGCUGGCGGUAGGCCUAACACAUGCAAGUCGAACGGCAGCACAGUAAGAGCUUGCUCUUACGGGUGGCGAGUGGCGGACGGGUGAGGAAUACAUCGGAAUCUACUUUUUCGUGGGGGAUAACGUAGGGAAACUCACGCUAAUACCGCAUACGACCUACGGGUGAAAGCAGGGGAUCUUCGGAGCUUGCGCGAUCGAAUGAGCCGAUGUCGGAUUAGCUAGUUGGCGGGGUAAAGGCCCACCAAGGCGACGAUCCGUAGCUGGUCUGAGAGGAUGAUCAGCCACACAGGAACUGAGACACGGUCCAGACUCCUACGGGAGGCAGCAGUGGGGAAUAUUCGACAAUGGGCGCAAGCCUGAUCCAGCCAUACCGCGUGGGUGAAGAAGGCCUUCGGGUUGUAAAGCCCUUUUGUUGGGAAAGAAAAGCAGCAGGUUAAUACCCCGCUGUUCUGACGGUACCCAAAGAAUAAGCACCGGCUAACUUCGUG
rnacentral:rRNA from 1 species